AUUGAACGCUGGCGGCAGGCCUAACACAUGCAAGUCGAACGGUAGCACAGAGAGCUUGCCCUCGGGUGACGAGUGGCGGACGGGUGAGUAACGUCUGGGAAACUGCCCGAUGGAGGGGGAUAACUACUGGAAACGGUAGCUAAUACCGCAUAACGUCGCAAGACCAAAGUGGGGGACCUUCGGGCCUCACACCAUCGGAUGUGCCCAGAUGGGAUUAGCUAGUAGGUGGGGUAAUGGCUCACCUAGGCGACGAUCCCUAGCUGGUCUGAGAGGAUGACCAGCCACACUGGAACUGAGACACGGUCCAGACUCCUACGGGAGGCGGCAGUGGGGAAUAUUGCACAAUGGGCGCAAGCCUGAUGCAGCCAUGCCGCGUGUAUGAAGAAGGCCUUCGGGUUGUAAAGUACUUUCAGCGGGGAGGAAGGCGGUGGAGUUAAUAACUUCACCGAUUGACGUUACCCGCAGAAGAAGCACCGGCUAACUCCGUGCCAGCAGCCGCCGUAAUAC
rnacentral:rRNA from 1 species